GACUCCAAUCAAGGUUGAUGGUCGCAUUGCCGUCUGUGAAGGGGCGUCUGAAGGUGUUGGACUUGGCCACCCAAUUGAGUACAUCUGCCUUGAUCUGGAGGCACCUAAUGUGUGCAAGUACUGUGGUCUCCGUUAUGUUCAAGUUCACCAUCACUAAAUUGGGAAGAUACUGCUGUCUACCGCUGCAGAAGCUGAGUUGAGGAGUUUAUGUGCACACACAUUUGUUUCACAAUGUUCUGUAGUGUACUUUGUACUAUCCUUGCGGGCAAAAUAUUACCUUUCAUGAUCAUCCUCUUCUCGGGCGAUCUUUUAUUAAUCCUGUCUUAGUAUGGUUCAUUUUUCUACAGAUGAAUUGUGCUCCUUUUUCAGAAUCUAUACAAGCUGUGUGUAUUGAAGUUUUACUCUGAAUAAGCAUGGAACUAACUCUAA